UACGGAGGAUGCAAGCGUUAUCCGGAAUGAUUGGGCUUAAAGCGUCCGCAGGUGGCAAUGUAAGUCUGCUGUCAAAGCGUCUGGCUCAACCAGAUAAAGGCAGUGGAAACUACAUAGCUAGAGUAAGGUAGGGGUAGAGGGAAUUCCUGGUGUAGCGGUGAAAUGCGUAGAGAUCAGGAAGAACACCGGUGGCGAAAGCGCUCUGCUGGACCUUAACUGACACUGAGGGACGAAAGCUAGGGGAGCGAAUGGG
rnacentral:rRNA from 1 species